GCCGCACCCACUUCCUCUUUCCCUUCCGCGCGCCAGCCAACCGCUCGCCCCCAAAAUUCCUGUCACUUCUGACAGGAAGCGGGGAGGCCGCGCCAGAGAGACCAGCCGAGCAUCUCCGGGGCGCCUCGGGACGGGACAUGGUCGGUCGUCCGCAGCGUCCGGCCUAGCCUUGGGCCUGGACCUGAACCCCGCCGGGUCCUCCACUCCGGUCGGCCAGGUCCUCGGUCCCCGCUUGGGCCCCGUCGGCCCGGUGCUCCCUCCCUCCCGCCUGGCCCGGUGCUCCCUCCCUCCCUCCUGCCCGCCCAGCCCGGUUCUCGGGCCCCCUCCCAGACAGGUCCUCCGGCGCGGUGGCGGCCCCGUCCUCAGCCGCCAGCCCGCCAUGGAGGUGGAGGAGGCGUUCCAGGCGGUGGGCGAGAUGGGCCUCUACCAGAUGUACUUGUGCUUCUUGCUGGCCGUGCUGCUGCAGCUCUAUGUGGCCACAGAAGCCAUCCUCAUUGCACUGAUUGGAGCUACACCAUCGUAUCACUGGGACAUGGCCGAGCUCCUGCCCAACCAGAGCCACAGCAAUCAGUCGGCUAGCAAAGAACAGGCCUUUGGGGACUGGCUCCUGACGGCCAAUGGCAGUGAGAUCCAUAAGCACGUACAUUUCAGCAGCAGCUUCACCUCUAUCGCCUCCGAGUGGUUUUUAAUUGCCAGCCGAUCUUAUAAAGUCAGUGCGGCCAGCUCCUUUUUCUUCAGUGGUGUGUUUGUUGGCGUUAUCUCCUUUGGUCAGCUUUCAGAUCGCUUCGGGAGGAAAAAGGUCUAUCUCACAGGUUUUGCCCUUGACAUCUUAUUUGCCAUCGCAAAUGGAUUUUCCCCCUCAUAUGAAUUUUUUGCAGCGACUCGCUUCUUGGUGGGCAUGAUGAAUGGAGGAAUGUCCCUGGUGGCCUUUGUCUUGCUCAAUGAAUGCGUGGGCACCGCCUACUGGGCACUUGCAGGAUCCAUCGGCGGUCUCUUCUUCGCUGUGGGCAUCGCGCAAUAUGCCCUGUUAGGAUACUUCAUCCGCUCCUGGAGGGCCCUCGCUGUUCUGGUCAACCUUCAGGGAACUGUUGUCUUCCUCUUGUCUUUAUUCAUUCCUGAAUCACCUCGUUGGUUAUACUCCCAGGGUCGACUGCGUGAGGCAGAAGAGGCUCUCUACCUCAUUGCCAGGAGGAACCGCAAGCUCAAGUGCACGUUCUCACUCACAUGUCCGGCCAACCGGAACUGCAGGGAAACCGGAAGCGUCCUGGAUCUCUUCCGUUACCGGGUCCUCCUAGGACACACUCUGAUCCUGAUGUUCAUCUGGUUUGUGUGCAGCUUGGUGUACUACGGCCUCACCCUGAGUGCCGGUGACCUGGGGGGCAGUAUUUAUGCCAACCUGGCCUUAUCUGGCCUCAUAGAGAUUCCAUCCUACCCUCUCUGCAUCUACCUGAUUAACCAAAGAUGGUUUGGUCGGAAGCGGACACUAGCAGCGUUUCUGUGCCUUGGAGGACUGGCCUGUCUUAUUGUGAUGUUUCUUCCAGAAAAGAAAGACACAGGUGUGUUUGCCGUGAUCAACAGCCACUCCUUGUCCUUGCUGGGGAAGCUGACGAUCAGUGCAGCCUUCAACAUUGUUUACAUCUACACCUCUGAGCUGUACCCCACUGUCAUCAGGAAUGUUGGCCUUGGAGCGUGUUCCAUGUUCUCCAGAGUGGGCGGGAUCAUUGCCCCCUUCAUACCCUCACUGGUUGGUUUGUACCUCCUGGUUCUGUCCUUCCUGGUUCUCUGCUUUGGAACUCAUGUGUGCUUUUGUGUAGAAAGAGAAGAACGUGCAGUGGUCUCUGCCCUUCAUCGUGUUUGGAGCCACCGGCCUGACCUCAGGCCUCCUGAGCCUGCUGUUGCCAGAGACUCUGAACAGCCCUUUGCUGGAGACGUUUUCUGACCUUCAGAUGUACUCCUAUAGGAGGUUAGGGGAGGAAGCUUUGUCUCUGCAGACCUUGGACCCUCCACAGGCCCUGGACAAGGCCAGCCCCCUGGGGAGCGAGAGCGAGGAGGAGGAAGAGUUCUAUGAUGUGGAUGAGGAGACCCAGAUGAUCAAGUGAAGAGCCCCACAUUCCUGCCCAGAAGCAAAGCCUCAUCAUCACGAGUGCCUCGGGGUCGGCCCACUGACACCUUCCAGACACAGAGGAGGCUGGAGGAGAGAUUCCAAAAGGGAGAACCUUGGCACACCGAGAGAAUCAUUGCUAAUUGUUCAGAAUUGAGGCUGAGCUCGGCACCACGCCUCUGGUCACACAGCUCCAGUUUCCUGUCUAGGUGGCUGACUGUAUCCCAUGCUGCUUCCCAUCCUUGGGGCUAAGAGCAGAUGUGUGAAACUGCUCGCAGAUUUACUAGGGUUAGCCAGAACUCCCCCCAAGAUGUCAUCCUCCUAGUAAACUUGAUGUCUGUCCCUGUCACUUGCUGCUCUCCACCAGGAGUCUUCAGAUGCUUCCCACCCAUUGAUUGACAGACAGCGCAGCUUGUGCCUUUAGUCUGAGAUCAUUCGCUAGUGAAAGCCAGAAUCAACAGAGCAAUUUACUGCCACAAGAGGACUGGCUGUGACUUGGUAGCUCCCUGUGACACUUGUUUUGUGCAAUGUUUCCAGUUCCCAUGUGGAAACACUUGGGAAAUUUUUCUUUGUGAGAUUCUAGGGUCAGCAAUAACUCAAAAUCAUGCACAGUCCAUAAUGAAAGUCCACAAGCCGGGGAAAGUCAGCAAGCAAUGUGCUGACACUCUUUACCUGUGACUUAACCAAGAGUGUUUGCUGUCUUCAUGUGCAAUGAGGGAUCUGGACGGCACACCAGGCCUUGAAUUCUGCCCUAAGUGAGCCUCUAGUUGUUUACUCAAAAGGCGUGGCAACUUUUAAAGAAAAAGUUGAGUUUUCAUUAAGUGCUUCCACUGAUUUCCAAAUAAAUCCAAAUCACACUUAAUCUGUUUCUCGCAAAGCUUGAACACUUUCAGAGAGGCGUAUAAGCAGAGAGUCCAUGUGUGGGCAGUUGAUCACUUUCCCAACCCGGGAAACUGCUGUGUUUAGAAAGUCUGUUUAUGCUCAUCUUCUGGGAAGAGAAAGCACAUAAACGUGAAGGGAAGGUGCCCUGUGGAUGCUUCUGGAAAUCAUGGAGACCUGCAUCCUGUGGCCUACUCCAUGUUGUCUUGGCUUCCACUAGCACUAUACCCACCUGCUCCUUUGUUGUUUUUCCUUUAUGCCCUUGCUGAUGAGGGAGCCAUUUCUACCACUGUAGAGAACAUUGGCCAUGAUGCAGUGAAGCCCCUAAUAGGUGACACUGUGUCUAGCUGUCAGGGAGGUUAUGGAAGCAUCGUGUCUGCAAAUCUCAGCAAAGUGUGCCCCACACCCCCAAACUGUGGAGCCCCGCUUCUCUCUUCUCUAGAAAAUGGAGGUCAGCUCUCUUUAGGAAAGGAAGAGAAGAGCUUCCAGAAAUACUUGGUUCUUGUCAAAUAAAGUGUUUAAAAUAAAGCAGUAAUAUAUAUAUAAAUAUAAGUAUA